CGGACACACACGCCCCUCAAGAUUACUCAAGAUUUAUUCAUUUGUUCAUGUCCGAUGAAUAUACAUUGAUUCACAUUUAAAUUUACAAUAUCAAAUCCAGACUAAUCAAAAAAAGAAAAGUAGACUAAGUGAGGACGAGUUAGAAAAACGGGUUCAUUUCUCCUAUGUUUAUGUUUACACGUUUUGUUCAGACUGCUUUACACCCCAAUCCAGUGGGUGGCGGUAAUGCCCCCAUUAGACCCCUUUCACUGACGUCACCCGAAACCGGAAGUAAACAAACCCUGCGCCACAUUGGAAGACCAACAAACUCGUGAUUUGGGGGAAAUAAAGGCAGCGCGCGGUAUGUGAACCCACGAGGCACUUGGUUCAUCAAAAACCUACAAUGGUAAACUUUUGUGCUGUGUUAGGGUGUUCUAACAAAGCUGAUGGGAAAGGUGAAAAGAAGUCUUUCUACAGAAUACCAGCUGUGAUUGAGACACAAGCAAACCAAGGAGCUUUCUGCCGGGAGACAGAGAGAGGAUUUAGCUGCUUUAUGCAGAGCGGAUCUGAAUACUUCAAGUCUAUUUUGUUACUGUUUUUCCCCAUGGCCAAAUAAUGAGGUGUCUGCGCCGCAGGAGGAAUAGGCCACAAUUAUAAAUUAUAAAUAAAUCAUAAAAUGUUUCUAAGAACUUGUUCAAGUGUGUUCUGUUCCUUAUAAAUGUUAAAAGUUAUGCCUCAUUAGAUAGCUUGACAAACAUUAGGAGAGGUGCAUUGUUGCAUGCAUUUUUAUAUCCUGUUGUACAUUAAACAGGACGUAGCCUACGCACAUUGAUAUAAAUUAAGUUUCACUUUCAUGGUUGAAGUAUGCAU